rnacentral:rRNA from 1 species
AACGUAGGACACAAGCGUUAUCCGGAAUUACUGGGCGUAAAGGGCGUGCAGGCGGUUGCGGAAGUUAGGCGUGAAAGACUUCGGCUAAACCGGGGGAGGUCGUCUGAUACUGCGCAACUAGGGUAUGGUAGAGGCGUGUAGAAUUCCGGGUGUAGUGGUGAAAUGCGUAGAGAUCCGGAGGAAUACCAGUGGCGAAGGCGGCACGCUGGGCCAUAACUGACGCUAAGACGCGAAAGCAUGGGUAGCGAACGGG